rnacentral:rRNA from 1 species
AGAGUUUGAUCCUGGCUCAGAUUGAACGCUGGCGGCAGGCUUAACACAUGCAAGUCGAGCGGGGGAGAUUGCUUCGGUAAUUGACCUAGCGGCGGACGGGUGAGUAAUACUUAGGAAUCUGCCUAUUAAUGGGGGACAACAUCUCGAAAGGGAUGCUAAUACCGCAUACGCCCUACGGGGGAAAGCAGGGGAUCACUUGUGACCUUGCGUUAAUAGAUGAGCCUAAGUCGGAUUAGCUAGUUGGUGGGGUAAAGGCCUACCAAGGCGACGAUCUGUAGCGGGUCUGAGAGGAUGAUCCGCCACACUGGGACUGAGACACGGCCCAGACUCCUACGGGAGGCAGCAGUGGGGAAUAUUGGACAAUGGGGGGAACCCUGAUCCAGCCAUGCCGCGUGUGUGAAGAAGGCCUUAUGGUUGUAAAGCACUUUAAGCGAGGAGGAGGCUCCUGUAGUUAAUACCUACAGAGAGUGGACGUUACUCGCAGAAUAAGCACCGGCUAACUCUGUGCCAGCAGCCGCGGUAAUACAGAGGGUGCGAGCGUUAAUCGGAUUUACUGGGCGUAAAGCGUGCGUAGGCGGCUUUUUAAGUCGGAUGUGAAAUCCCCGAGCUUAACUUGGGAAUUGCAUUCGAUACUGGGAAGCUAGAGUAUGGGAGAGGAUGGUAGAAUUCCAGUGUAGCGGUGAAAUGCGUAGAGAUCUGGAGGAAUACCGAUGGCGAAGGCAGCCAUCUGGCCUAAUACUGACGCUGAGGUACGAAAGCAUGGGAGCAACAGGAUUAGAUACCCUGGUAGUCC